UAUGCACCAGGAAUGACAGUAGUCGCCUAAGCAUAUGGAAAUGAACAGGUCACUCACCAGAAGCUCAUAAUCUAGUGAGAGACAGUAGUUCACCAGAUAGUUAUAAUAAAGGUAAUAUGCCGUAUGUGUCCUCAGGGCAGGGACCACAUCCCACUCAGAAGCCAGGCCAGCGUCCCAAAUCUUAUCCUUGGUAAGCUGAAGAGAGAUCAUUCUGGGACUACCAACAAGAUCAGCCUGAGGAAGAGGACUAAUUCCACCAUGACAGCUGGGCCCUGAACCAGAGCACAUCUUCUAAUCUCAGCUUCUGGCACUGUUGCAGAGGAAGAAGUCACUUCUGGGACAUCCAAACUGCAAUCCAUCUAUAACAUUACAGAUGACUAUUGCUAUGCUGUGCACAAGGAAACAAUUAAAAAAGCUUCUUAAGAUUCUGGAGC